GAUGAAGAACGUAGCGAAAUGCGAUAAGUAAUGUGAAUUGCAGAAUUCCGUGAAUCAUCGAAUCUUUGAACGCACAUUGCGCCCCCUGGCAUUCCGGGGGGCAUGCCUGUCCGAGCGUCAUUUCUGCCCUCCAGCCCGGCUGGGUGUUGGGCGCUGUCCCCCCGGGGACACGCCCCAAAGGCAGUGGCGGCGCCGCGUCGGGUCCUCGAGCGUAUGGGGCUUUGUCACCCGCUCGGGACGGACUCGUCGGCGCUGGUCUUCCUCCAGGCGACCCUUCGGGGCUCGUCUUCCUUCGGUUGACCUCGGAUCAGGUAGGGUUACCCGCUGAACUUAAGCAUAUCAAAAAGCGGAGGA
rnacentral:misc_RNA from 1 species